CUGUACAGCACUUUGAGAUAUCAGCUGAUGUAAGAAGGGCUAUAGUAUAUAAAUACAUUUGAUUUGAUAAUAAUCUAGAUUAUAAACAUUGUAAUGAUAUAGAUAAUAAACACAGUAAUAAUCUAGAUAAUAAAACACAGUAAUAAUCUAGAUAAUAAAACACAGUAAUAAUCUAGAUAAUAAACACAGUAAUAAUCUAGAUUAUAAAAUACAGUAAUAAUCUAGAUAAUAAAACACAGUAAUAAUCUAGAUAAUAAACACAGUAAUAAUCUAGAUAAUAAAACACAGUAAUAAUCUAGAUAAUAAACAUUGUAAUGAUGUAGAUGUCACGUUCGUCAUAAUGAUUGGACCAAGGCGCAGCGUGCGGAGAGUUCCACAUCUUUUAAUUCAUAGACACUCAGCAGAACAAACAAGCACAAAGGAAAUGUGAAGCUACUGGUGAAGCUACACAGGCAACUAUCCGUAGACAAGAUCCCACAAAACACAAAAUGAGGAAAUGGCUACCUAAAUAUGAUCCCCAAUCAGAGACAACGAUAAACAGCUGUCUCUGAUUGGGAACCAUAUCAGGCCAACAUAGACAUAUAACACCCUAGAUGACCCACCCUAGUCACUAUCACACCCCAACCAACAGAGAAUAAACAGCUUACUAUGCUCAGGUCGUGACAAUAGAUAAUAAAAACACUGUAAUUAAAUAGAUAAUAAACUGUAAUAAUAUAGAUAAUAUAGAAUAAAAACAGGUUAGGGUGUAACAGGUCUGUAGUUAGGGUGUAAUGGCAGGUCUGUAGUUGGGGUGUAAUGGCAGGUCUGUAGUUAGGGUGUAAUGGCAGGUCUGUAGUUGGGGUGUAAUGGCAGGUCUGUAGUUAGGGUGUAAUGGCAGGUCUGUAGUUGGGGUGUAAUGGCAGGUCUGUAGUUAGGGUGUAAUGGCAGGUCUGUAGUUGGGGUGUAACAACAGGUCUGUAGUUAGGGUGUAACGGCAGGUCUGUAGUUAGGGUGUAACGGCAGGUCUGUAGUUAGGGUGUAACAACAGGUCUGUAGUUAGGGUGUAACGGCAGGUCUGUAGUUAGGGUGUAACAGGUCUGUAGUUAGGGUGUAAUGGCAGGUCUGUACAGGUUAGGGUGUAAUGGCAGGUCUGUAGUUAGGGUGUAAUGGCAGGUCUGUAGUUAGGGUGUAAUGGCAGGUCUGUAGUUAGGGUGUAAUGGCAGGUAUGUAGUUAGGGUGUAACAACAGGUCUGUAGUUAGGGUGUAAUGGCAGGUCUGUAGUUAGGGUGUAAUGGCAGGUCUGUAGUUGGGGUGUAAUGGCAGGUCUGUAGUUGGGGUGUAAUGGCAGGUCUGUAGUUAGGGUGUAAUGGCAGGUCUGUAGUUAGGGUGUAAUGGCAGGUCUGUAGUUAGGGUGUAAUGGCAGGUCUGUAGUUAGGGUGUAAUGGCAGGUCUGUAGUUAGGGUGUAACAACAGGUCUGUAGUUAGGGUGUAACAACAGGUCUGUAGUUAGGGUGUAAUGGCAGGUCUGUAGUUAGGGUGUAAUGGCAGGUCUGUACAGGUUAGGGUGUAAUGGCAGGUCUGUAGUUAGGGUGUAACAACAGGUCUGUACAGGUUAGGGUGUAACAGGUCUGUAGUUAGGGUGUAAUGGCAGGUCUGUAGUUAGGGUGUAAUGGCAGGUCUGUACAGGUUAGGGUGUAAUGGCAGGUCUGUAGUUAGGGUGUAACAGGUCUGUAGUUAGGGUGUAAUGGCAGGCCUGUAGUUAGGGUGUAAUGGCAGGCCUGUAGUUAGGGUGUAAUGGCAGGUCUGUACAGGUUAGGGUGUAAUGGCAGGUCUGUAGUUAGGGUGUAAUGGCAGGUCUGUAGUUAGGGUGUAAUGGCAGGUCUGUAGUUAGGGUGUAAUGGCAGGUCUGUACAGGUUAGGGUGUAAUGGCAGGUCUGUAGUUAGGGUGUAAUGGCAGGUCUGUAGUUAGGGUGUAAUGGCAGGUCUGUAGUUAGGGUGUAAUGGCAGGUCUGUAGUUAGGGUGUAACAACAGGUCUGUAGUUAGGGUGUAAUGGCAGGUCUGUACAGGUUAGGGUGUAAUGGCAGGUCUGUAGUUAGGGUGUAAUGGCAGGUCUGUAGUUAGGGUGUAAUGGCAGGUCUGUAGUUAGGGUGUAAUGGCAGGUCUGUAGUUAGGGUGUAAUGGCAGGUCUGUACAGGUUAGGGUGUAAUGGCAGGUCUGUAGUUAGGGUGUAAUGGCAGGUCUGUAGUUAGGGUGUAAUGGCAGGUCUGUACAGGUUAGGGUGUAAUGACAGGUCUGUAGUUAGGGUGUAAUGGCAGGUCUGUACAGGUUAGGGUGUAAUGGCAGGUCUGUAGUUAGGGUGUAAUGGCAGGUCUGUAGUUAGGGUGUAAUGGCAGGUCUGUAGUUAGGGUGUAAUGGCAGGUCUGUACAGGUUAGGGUGUAAUGGCAGGUCUGUAGUUAGGGUGUAAUGGCAGGUCUGUACAGGUUAGGGUGUAAUGGCAGGUCUGUAGUUAGGGUGUAAUGGCAGGUCUGUAGUUAGGGUGUAAUGGCAGGUCUGUAGUUAGGGUGUAAUGGCAAGUCUAAAUCCUCAGUGAUGUGGACACAGAGGAACAGGAAGCUCUUGACCCCGUCCACUGGGAGAUGUGUACCUGGCCCUGUUUCCUGUAGUCCACCAUCAGCUCCUUGUUGACGUUGAGAGGUUGUUGUCCUGGCAACACACUGCCAGGGUUCUGACCUGCUUCCUAUAGGCUGUCUGGUCACCGUCAGUGAUCAGGCCUUACCAUCGUCGUAUCAUCAGCGAACUUGUUGACGUUGAGGGGUUGUUGUCCUGGCAACACACUGCCAGGGUUCUGACCUGCUUCCUAUAGGCUGUCUCGUCACCGUCAGUGAUCAGGCCUUACCAUCGUCGUAUCAUCAGCGAACGUGAUGGUGGAGUCAUGCGCGGCCACUCAGUCGUGGGGCAACAGGGAGUACAGGAGAGGACUGAGCAUACAGGCCACUGGGCAAAUAUUGUCAGGUUGCCAUUUGCUGUUUGGCAAAUACUUUAAGACAGGUAGACUCAUAAGUAAACAAGUUGCUCAGACAAACUCAACAUUUUAAUAUUUGUCUGUAAAUAUUAAUCAAAUGUAUUGGAAGAAUGAUGUUUGUUAUAGAUUGUGGUAGUUGUGCCUGUAUAGUCUAGGCCAGCUUUAGUGGAAAACGUUAGAUGUCUCUCUCUCUCUCUCUCUCUCUCUCUCUCUCUCUCUCUCUCUCUCUCUCUAUCACUCACU